rnacentral:rRNA from 1 species
GGAACGUGCCCUUCUCUACGGAAUAGCCCCGGGAAACUGGGAGUAAUACCGUAUACGCCCUUUGGGGGAAAGAUUUAUCGGAGAAGGAUCGGCCCGCGUUGGAUUAGGUAGUUGGUGGGGUAAUGGCCUACCAAGCCGACGAUCCAUAGCUGGUUUGAGAGGAUGAUCAGCCACACUGGGACUGAGACACGGCCCAGACUCCUACGGGAGGCAGCAGUGGGGAAUCUUAGACAAUGGGGGCAACCCUGAUCUAGCCAUGCCGCGUGAGUGAUGAAGGCCUUAGGGUUGUAAAGCUCUU